GUCCUAGCCGUAAACGAUGGGCACUAGGUGUGGGGGGUAUAACUCCCUCCGUGCCGCAGCUAACGCAUUAAGUGCCCCGCCUGGGGAGUACGGCCGCAAGGCUAAAACUCAAAGGAAUUGACGGGGGCCCGGCACAAGCAGCGGAGCAUGUGGCUUAAUUCGAAGCAACGCGAAGAACCUUACCAGGGCUUGACAUGCAGGUGAAGCGGUGGAAACGCCGUGGCCGAGAGGAGCCUGCGCAGGUGGUGCAUGGCUGUCGU
rnacentral:rRNA from 1 species